rnacentral:rRNA from 1 species
AUUGAACGCUGGCGGCAGGCUUAACACAUGCAAGUCGAGCGGAAACGAAGAGUAGCUUGCUACUUUGGCGUCGAGCGGCGGACGGGUGAGUAAUGCUUGGGAAUAUGCCUUUUGGUGGGGGACAACAGGUUGGAAACGACUGCUAAUACCGCAUAAUGUCUGAGGACCAAAGGCGGGGGACCUUCGGGCCUCGUGCCAAAAGAUUAGCCC